rnacentral:rRNA from 1 species
CGUCAAAUCAUCAUGCCCUUAUGACCUGGGCUACACACGUGCUACAAUGGUUGGUACGACGAGUUGCGAGUCGGUGACGGCGAGGCUAAUCUCUUAAAGCCAAUCUCAGUUCGGAUUGUAGGCUGCAACUCGCCACAUGAAGUCGGAAUCGCUAGUAAUCGCGGAUCAGCACGCCGCGGUGAAUACGUUCCCGGGCCUU